rnacentral:rRNA from 1 species
UGGGGAAUUUUGGACAAUGGGCGCAAGCCUGAUCCAGCCAUGCCGCGUGCGGGAAGAAGGCCUUCGGGUUGUAAACCGCUUUUGUCAGGGAAGAAAUCUUCUGAGUUAAUACCUCGGGAGGAUGACGGUACCUGAAGAAUAAGCACCGGCUAACUACGUGCCAGCAGCCGCGGUAAUACGUAGGGUGCAAGCGUUAAUCGGAAUUACUGGGCGUAAAGCGUGCGCAGGCGGUUUUGUAAGACAGAGGUGAAAUCCCCGGGCUCAACCUGGGAACUGCCUUUGUGACUGCAAGGCUUGAGUGCGGCAGAGGGGGAUGGAAUUCCGCGUGUAGCAGUGAAAUACGUAGAUAUGCGGAGGAACACCGAUGGCGAAGGCAAUCCCCUGGGCCUGCACUGACGCUCAUGCACGAAAGCGUGGGGAGCAAACAGGAUUAGAUACCCUGGUAGUCCACGCCCUAAACGAUGUCAACUGGUUGUUGGGAAGGUUCCUUCUCAGUAACGUAGCUAACGCGUGAAGUUGACCGCCUGGGGAGUACGGCCGCAAGGUU